CCUGAACGCUGGCGGCGUGGUUAAGACAUGCAAGUCGCACGGGGUGCCGCAAGGCAUCCAGUGGCGAACGGGUGAGUAAUGAAUCGCUAAUGUGCCCCGGACUCUGGGAUAGCCAUCCGAAAGGGUGGGUAAUACCAGAUGACAUGCCCCGCCGGCAUCGGCGGGGCCUCAAAGGAGCAAUCCGGUCUGGGAGCAGGCGAUUUCGUAUCAGCUAGUUGG
rnacentral:rRNA from 1 species